UACAGAGGGUGCAAGCGUUGUUCGGAAUUACUGGGCGUAAAGCGCGUGUAGGUGGCGAUGUAAGUCGGGUGUGAAAUCCCGGGGCUCAACCUCGGAACUGCCUUUGAUACUGCAAAUCUCGAGUCCGGAAGAGGUGAGUGGAAUUCCUAGUGUAGAGGUGAAAUUCGUAGAUAUUAGGAAGAACACCAGUGGCGAAGGCGGCUCACUGGUCCGGUACUGACGCUGAGGUGCGAAAGCGUGGGGAGCAAACAGG
rnacentral:rRNA from 1 species